CUAUGGUGCCAGCUGCAAAAAGCCAUGCAGGAGGGUGGGAGGCAGCCGCUGUGCUCCACUGGGGGAACGAGGUCACUGGUAAAACUAAGACUGGGGUAAGGGAGUAUCCAUCCUGUACGCUGGCAUAGGAAGAUGUCAACAAAUACAGCACGCAGUGACAUGAAGAACAAGCCUCUCCCACUUUCUUCUGAGAUGACAAAUAUUCCUGGUGCUGAAGACCCCGAUGCAUCUGUGAAUUCAGCUGUAUUUGUGCAUUUUGCAGCAAGAUGCUUUCUCUAAUUAAGCAAUUUUCACUAAUACAAUUCAAUUCAUUUCGCGUUAACCUUUCCCCCUUUUUCCUAUAGGAUUAGCAGGGAAGCAUCUUGCUUUAGAGUCUUGUAAAGAGCUUUUCAUCCCAACUGCAACCCACUAUUUCCAACAAGUUGGUCAGCCCAGUUCCUGCACGUUUUAUUUCAAUAGACGAAAGAUGUGCUGGUUGGAGAGGGGUGGUUUGUUCAGAAAUACUCAUCUAGAAAGUCAUUUGUUUUCAUCAGAGCUGCUCAAGUGAAACAGGUGGAAAAUUCCCAGCCAACAGCAGGGUUGGCUCCUACCUGCCCACAUCACAAAGAACCACAGAGAGGGUCCCUGCUGGAAUGGCACGGCCACAAAAAUUGCAAGUCAAGGUGAAAAGAGAGGCCUGAAGUCUGGAAAGUGACAGCAAAAAAAUCUCACAAACCACUUGAACCCUGGCCUGCUAUAAACAAUGCCACCAAACGUGUGAUUCACCCUUUUGUGAGAGCAGUGCUCCCGUCCACAGAUUUCCAUGCUGCUCACUCGGCAAAAGAUCUCAGUUCUGAAGUUGGUAACAAAUAACCCCAUAAUUAACCUCAUCCCCCAAAUCUCAGAUCCACUCUCAAAAUUUGACACCUGCCCCCUCCUGUCAGCUCAGGUAAAAUAACACCCAGAGCUCCAGCACAGGUUUCCAUCUGCAGAUGAUCCCCAGGCUUUCCCCCCUCAUCUCCCUGAGCUGCCUCUCAUUUGUCUGAGCCAUAAAGUCCUCCAGCUGUGCAUACCCAAAUCUCACUACCUGGAAGACUAGUAGUGAUGCUGCCCAAUCCUACUCUGCACAGGGAUCCUUUCAGACCCAGAAAGCCACCCCAGUGGCAGGCAGUGGGUCUGGCAGGGCAGCACACCAUGGGGCUGUUUCUCUUUGCUCACCCAGCACCCCGCCUGCCCUGUGCUGGUGCAGAAAGCUUUAAACAACCGGGCUGUGAAGCCCAGCCUCGCUUCCCCACACCUCAGUUUGCUGAGUAUUAGUAUUUAUCUUUGCUUGCUGCUGGCAACUGCUAAUUUAGCUACAUUGGCCGCUUGUGUAGUUUUAACAUUGCUCUCCUGCUCCAGCCAAGGCAGCUCCUUAAUAAAUCAAAAGCCUGGAAGGUUCACAUAGAACACAGAGGCCUUUACGGUGUGCGUGAAGAUGGGAGCAGAACUUCCUGACAUU